CCAGGGCUACACACGUGCUACAAUGGUCGGUACAAAGGGUUGCCAAGCCGCGAGGUGGAGCUAAUCCCAUAAACCGAUCGUAGUCCGGAUCGCAGCUGCAACUCGACUGCGUGAAGUCGGAAUCGCUAGUAAUCGUGAAUCAGAAUGUCCACGGUGAAUACGUUCCCGGGCCUU
rnacentral:rRNA from 1 species